UGCGAACGGGUGAGUAACACGUGAGUAACCUGCCCUUGACUCUGGGAUAAGCGCUGGAAACGGCGUCUAAUACCNNAUACGACCUGCCCCGGCAUCGGGUGCGGGUGGAAAGUUUUUCGGUCAAGGAUGGACUCGCGGCCUAUCAGCUUGUUGGUGAGGUAAUGGCUCACCAAGGCGACGACGGGUAGCCGGCCUGAGAGGGUGACCGGCCACACUGGGACUGAGACACGGCCCAGACUCCUACGGGAGGCAGCAGUGGGGAAUAUUGCACAAUGGGCGAAAGCCUGAUGCAGCAACGCCGCGUGGGGGAUGACGGCCUUCGGGUUGUAAACCUCUUUUAGUAGGGAAGAAGGACUUCGGUUUGACGGUACCUGCAGAAAAAGCACCGGCUAACUACGUGCCAGCAGCCGCGGUAAUACGUAGGGUGCAAGCGUUGUCCGGAAUUAUUGGGCGUAAAGAGCUCGUAGGCGGUUUGUCGCGUCUGCUGUGAAAACCCGAGGCUCAACCUCGGGCCUGCAGUGGGUACGGGCAGACUAGAGUGCGGUAGGGGAGAAUGGAAUUCCUGGUGUAGCGGUGGAAUGCGCAGAUAUCAGGAGGAACACCGAUGGCGAAGGCAGUUCUCUGGGCCGUUACUGACGCUGAGGAGCGAAAGCGUGGGGAGCGAACAGGAUUAGAUACCCUGGUAGUCCACGCCGUAAACGUUGGGAACUAGAUGUGGGGACCUUUCCACGGUCUCCGUGUCGCAGCUAACGCAUUAAGUUCCCCGCCUGGGGAGUACGGCCGCAAGGCUAAAACUCAAAGGAAUUGACGGGGGCCCGCACAAGCGGCGGAGCAUGCGGAUUAAUUCGAUGCAACGCGAAGAACCUUACCAAGGCUUGACAUAUACCGGAAACUUCCAGAAAUGGUUGCCCCGCAGGGUCGGUAUACAGGUGGUGCAUGGUUGUCGUCAGCUCGUGUCGUGAGAUAUUGGGUUAAGUCCCGCAACGAGCGCAACCCUCGUUCUAUGUUGCCAGCACGUCAUGGUGGGAACUCAUAGGAGACUGCCGGGGUCAACUCGGAGGAAGGUGGGGAUGGCGUCAAAUCAUCAUGCCCCUUAUGUCUUGGGCUUCACGCAUGCUACAAUGGCCGGUACAAAGGGCUGCGAUACCGUAAGGUGGAGCGAAUCCCAAAAAGCCGGUCUCAGUUCGGAUUGAGGUCUGCAACUCGACCUCAUGAAGUCGGAGUCGCUAGUAAUCGCAGAUCAGCAACGCUGCGGUGAAUACGUUCCCGGGCCUUGUACACACCGCCCGUCAAGUCAUGAAAGUCGGUA
rnacentral:rRNA from 1 species